AACGGCGGCCGUAACAAUAACGGGCCUAAGGUAGCGAAAUUCCUUGUCAGGUAAGUUCUGACCCGCACGAAAGGCGUAACGAUUUGGGCACUGUCUCAACGAGAGGCUCGGUGAAAUCAUAGUACCUGUGAAGAUGCAGGUUACCCGCGACAGGACGGAAAGACCCCGUGGAGCUUUACUGUAUCCUGAUAUUGAAUCUUGACAUCACCUGUACAGGAUAGGUGGGAGUCUAUGAAGUGUGUACGCUAGUAUACAUGGAGACAACGGUGGGAUACCACCCUGGUGAUGUUGAGCUUCUAACCCGCAUGUUAACAGCAUGGGAGACAGUGUCAGGUGGACAGUUUGACUGGGGCGGUCGCCUC
rnacentral:rRNA from 14 species